ACGCCGCGUCAGUCAAACACCGGCCCUCUUUCUCCCAAUCCCCGCAGCCGUCGCGCCCGGCACACCUCCCUUCUCCACUCCCCCCCGCACCCCACCCUUCCCAGCCGAGCUUGUUCCUCUAGCCACCCACUCGUCUGCUCCUCCUCCUCCUCCUCUCUCUCUUCUAGCUUCCUCUUCCUUCCUGAUCUCUACGUCGGCCGGACCACGAGAGGAGCGGCGGUGGCGGAGACGCUCCGGUGGCGGCAUCGAGUUGCGAACCCCAGGAACCAGGUCUGGGGGUUCGGUUCCAAGGCGCGGACGGCUUCUCCGCCUAUGACACCGAGGGCAAGUGUACACCCCAGUGCCCUCCUCCUGCGCAAACCCUACGAGAGAGAGAGAGAGAGAGGAAGAUGAGAGGGAGGGAGAGAGAAUGACCGGCGUCAGCCUGCACCAGCAAGGACGGGCGCGACGUGGAGGUUGGCCGCUGCUCGAUCUGCUCUUGGAUCGGGAGCUUCGACGAAGCUGGGGUUCGGGCGCAUUGCACCGGAGGCUGCACUCCACCUCUUGCUUGUGGUGCGGUGGACAGCAACUCUUGCGGUCGUGCGGCUGACGGCGGCCUCAGCGGGUGGUCAACGACACUUGCAGCUGGUGCUCUACCCAUGGAUUCCGGCACAGCCCGAAAUACUCAGAUAUUUGACUGCAUUACUGAAUGUUCUAGGGUUGGAGCAGCAGCUGAGCUUAGGGCAAGACAAGCACAUUAGUUGAAUCCUGAACUUAUAGGAUGGUUUCCCCUGCCACAACCAUUGUCAUCGGCCUGCAUUCCCUUGUCAAGCGUGCAUCGGUGCUGGAUAUGCAAGCUGCAACAGUGCAUCAACGGGCAGGCAAGAGCAAGACGAUGGUCAUGAUUUUUGGUUUGAAGUUGCUUUUAUGAACUCCAAGCAGUGGAAGACAAUGUUAACUGAAGCCACUUUUGUUGGUCAUGGAUUUACAAGAAAGCCAGUAGAGUAUGAAAAGGUUCUCAUGGGACUCACCCUGAACUGAAAUCUAUCUUCAACCUUGGUAUAUCUCUAUAGAAAAACCCAAGUGGAAGCCACUUUUGUUGGUCAUGGAUUUACAAGAAAGCGAGUAGAGUAUGAAAAGGUUCUCAUGGGACUCACCCUGAACUGAAAUCUAUCUUCAACCUUGCUUAAACUGAAAGCAAUGCAUGGUAUUGUUCAAUUCGAAGUGUACUUGACGUUUGCAGAUCUGAGGAUGAAGGGAAGAAGACAGAAUUUAGCUGAAGAGUUGAAUAAGAUCAAGGUUAUUAUUCCACAACCAUUUGUUGCAUCCAUUAUGUGUUCACCCAAUCCAUCUCUCUCUCUCUCUGCUGGCUGCCACCACACGUGGACGGUAGUGGUUCAUUUUCGUAUAACAUUUGUCAUUUCUACAGUUUUAUCAUGUAUAGUUGGAUCCAGAAAAUGUAGAGAAGAAAUUUUUGAAAGAGAAAUAAAGUGCAUAGGUUACGCCACUUAAUUUUUCUUCAACUGUUUUUGGUAAAAUUGCUUACCUAGGCAUCAGUAUAUUUUGUGACAGGAAUCUGCACUAUAUUAUUAUGCUUUUAGCAAUACCAAUCUUAUUUUAUUUCUUUGUGGAAUUGCUUACCUAGGCAUAAAAAAUGUGAAAAAAUCUGCACUAUGUUCUUAUGCUUUCAGUAAUGAGCAUCUUGUUUAGAUUCUCGGGGUUUAGCCCUGCUGACUUCUGAAUAAUUAUUCAUUCAUGAGAUUCACUGUAGAAUUGCUUACCUAGGCAUAAAAACGUAAAGGUGAGAUUGGCUACAAUUUUGAUGUACUUUUGUAAUGUUUUCCUGUUUGUACAUACUUUAUUGGUUUGCUUGAAACUGCAUUUUCAUAUGUGCUUGUAGGCUCUACAGGAUCCAGUGAUGGAUCUGAGUGUCAGCACUCGAGUUAUAAGUUUCUUCUAGCAUGUUGACACACUAAUUAGAUUCAGGAAUUAUUUGGUACAUCUCAGCUUUGCGGCAUCAUGUGUAGAGGGUCAUGUUAAUAAAUAUAUCUGGCCUCCACUUAGAUGUUCUUUUCUUGUAAUUGAUAACUCAUACAAAUUCUGCAACAUAUUGUGCAUAGCAAUACACCUCUACUGAAAUACUACUUUCUUAUUCCCAUUUCCAUCCGACACCUGACUUUACAUCAUUUCUAAUCUCGUCUUUUCUCCUGAAUUUUAGUCUGCUUCAGUAAUGUUGUGGCAUGCCGCAAAACAACCACAUUUUUGCUACUGUGAUUUGGUCCAUCCUAUGCAUUUCAGUUCCUGGUGAUCUCCGACGUUUGUCAGCUAAUGCCACCAUGAGGGUGCUGGGCUGCUGAUGGCAUGCUACCUGCUUUGAAAAAAAGGAAUGAAAGGAAGCAUUUGUUCAUAGAACAAAUAUAUUCAUUGUCUGUUAAGAUAAAUAUCCCUAUCCUCUGUUUGUUUCUUGAUUAUUCUCUGUGAACUUUUGUUCUAUGUGCAGACAAGUUUCCUCCAUAUUAUGUCAACAUCCCAUGGUGAUGUAUGUGAAAGAUUGAAAGUGCGGUACUACAUAAAGACGCGCUGCAAAUAUUGUUGCAUAAUCACAACUUUCAUAACAUUAACUUCCAUUGUCUGUUAAUAAUUAAUUAUCUCGGGUAAAAUCUAUUUUUCUACCUGAUUGAUGUGGUUAGUUUGAUUUAUAGUAGAAUAUCAACAUUCUCCUUUAUGAUGGUUGAUGGGCAGUGUGUUUCGUCCAAGUGAUAUGUUUCCUGUAUUGUUAGAGAUGUCUAUUUGGCUUAUGAUCGUACUGUUGAGCACAUCUUACCCUUGUGCUGAAGAUAAAUGGUACUAAUCAAUCUGCCAAAGCUUUGUGAUGUGAAAGUGCAUUUGGUAGGAAGGGUUCUGCAGAUAACCCCUUUAGAUUCUGUCCCUUCAAGAUUUUUUUGUAUCAAGCCAUAAAUUUAAACAGGAAUCCUUCAGUGGCUAUUUUGUUUAUCCACACACUUUCUAAUGUCUGGUCCUCUUAAAUUAGGAUAAGCUUUUUACUGUCUUUGUUUUUUGAUUAUCAUCAACAAUACUGGUUCUGUUGUCCCUUAGGCUGUCAAUGCUGAUGCUAUUUCAAUGCUGAGAAGCAAACUCGGAAAUCAGCUCGCUAACAAGAGUCGGAAUUCGAAUCUGAGGCAACUUUCACAUUCCCCAAUUUGUCUAUUGAACCCAUGAUCUCUCUUUCUUUUGCAUUAUUUUCCAUUCAUUAUCUAAGAUAUAAUUUCGACUUCACUGCACCGUGUUGUCUGGUUUAUAAUGCCGGUUGAGCUCAUUUCUAAUUGUUCAUAACUACUUAAUUUUUUUGUUGUGAUUUUGCAAGAUAUUGAAAUUAUUGUAUUUCAAAAUUGUUUUACUGAUUCUCGAUGCUCUGUUCACGGCUUUUUUCUUAUUUUAUCCUUCUUUGCUUUUUUCCUUUCCUGCAAGAAGAUGUCGAGUCAUGUAAUAUGUUCAAAGAAGAGAGAAUCUGCAUUUUAUGAAUCCUUUCUUCUUUCUUCAUUGUUACUUCAAGUUAGUGAAUUCAUUUAAGUUGUAUUGAUCAGCUUCAUGUGCAUGGUUUCUUCAUCUACACAUCUUAUUCAGUCACGAGGCGAGUAAGAUCUUUUGCCUUUUAGAAAAAGGGAGAUGCCAUUUAGACCUUACUCUUCCAACUUGAUCUUUAACUUGCUACUACUGUUUCUGAGCAUUUUCCCAAGCAUUUUUUAUUUGCUUCAGAGAAUGAGCUCACCUCAUUCAGUGGAUGUGCCAAGUAAAAAAUUUAGAAACUGAGCAAUUAGUUCCACUCUUGAAUUUUGUACAGCGGUCCAAAUUAUCCAAUAAAUCAUUUGUUAGCAGGGUCAAAUUAUAGAAGUUGAAUCAGUUGUUCCAAAUUACAAUGUGUGACUUAUUCCAUUUGUUUAUCCUUUUGUCCUUUUAAUCAAGAACACUAUUUAGAGCUUACAUGGUUGUCCAAAUUUAGUUCUGUAAAAGAGGAAUAUUGAUAUCAUGCAAUGAUCAGUGCAGAUUAGAAUAGUUAUAGAGUUAUUCCUCAGUUUUCAUUGAGCAAAGAUUGAAUCUGUAUGAUUUUUUCUAAUACCAAGUAAAUCUUGGUCUGCAUUUUGUUAGUUUUCCUACUGAGUUUUUUUGGCUAUUUUCGUUUAAAUUGGUAGUUGAUGUGAAAAAGUGUGUGUUGACAUGGAUGUAACCAAAUCAUGUAUUAAUGUGAGGUACUACAUAGACUUGCCUAUCUCUUUCCAUAAGCACAACCCUCUUGAUCCAACUAGGAACAUCAAAACCAAAUGGGAAAUCAUUGAGUGGACUUCAGAUGGCCAUGCUGUGAGUACACCAUUAGUAUCUGAAUCUACUUUGUAUAAUUAAGACACACUUUCUACAUAUCGCUGCUAUAUUGAUACCAUGCGAUCACUUAACAUGAGUGUGACUAGCCUAUUUUCUUGCCUAACUGUGUGAUUGCAUGUAGUAAUGCAUGGCUUCUCUAUUUAAAUGAAGAGUUGUGUUUAUCAUAAUAAUUAUGUACCACAGACUUGUUUCUUUCUGUUUAUAUAAUAAUGCAGUUCGUCUUCUACCAUAUGUUUUCUUUGUUACAUGUCUUCUAAUUGUUCAUCUUUUUUUCUCUUUCGACGACAAAAUAACUUCGCGUUUCGAAAUAUUUAGUACGCCAUCAUGGUCUUUCUUAAGGGUGUUCAGGCCUUUUGGUCUUCUAUUCAUGCUGCGAACCCCAAUAUGGCAUCUCGCCGUUCCCCAUGAUCCACAUGGUAAGUAUGGAUUUAUUUACUGAUAAUAUGAUAUCAACUGCCUUUUCUUCAGGAUAAUCUGACACCUAAUAAGGACUAAGAGAACAACAGAGAUGCUAAGAGGGAACCUUUUGGGUUUAAGGAUAUAAACAACAUGGCUUACGAGGAUUUGAACUGCUGUUCUUUUAGUUCCACUCUUAAAUGUUUUGGUUCUUGAAGGCCUGCACUUUCCUGUUGGAGUAGGAGCAAAAUAAUUCAGAGGCUUUAAACCUGCUGCACUUUAGUAGUUAGGAUCAAUCCUUUGUUUUGGUUUGAAAUGCUCCUCAAUUCCUCCUAUUUGAUUGAUUCAUCUAAUGGUCAUUUGCCAGGCAAAUAAAUAGAAGGCAUAUGUAUUGUUUUGAGUGAAGCCAUCCAUAUCCCAUAUGUGGAAUUCAAGAUAUAGAGAAAUGUUAUUGUUCUUCUGCUAAUUGGUUGCUUGACCAAAUGUACUAUAAAUGAUGUUAUUAUUGUACCAGAUAUAGAGAAAUGUUAUUGUUCUUCAAUUA